AAUGAACGUUGGCGGCGUGGAUUAGGCAUGCGAGUCGUACGAGAACCCGCAAGGGGGAAGUGGCGAACGGGGUAGUAAUGCGUAGGUGACGUGCCCUAUGGUCGGGGAUAGCUUAGGGAAACUUAAGGUAAUACUCGAUGAUCCCGGGAUGUUUGAAGACAAUCCGGGCAAAGGUGUGAUUCCAUCAUAGGAGCGGCUUGCGUGGUAUUAGCUAGUUGGUGAGGUAACGGCUCACCAAGGCUUCGAUGCCUAGGGGAUGUUAGCGCAUGAUCCCCACCACUGGGACUGAGAUACUGCCCAGACACCUACGGGUGGCUGCAGUCGAGAAUCUUCGGCAAUGGGCGAAAGCCUGACCGAGCGACGCCGCGUGUGGGAUGAAGGCCCUUGGGUUGUAAACCACUGUCAGGGGGGAUGAAACCGUAAGGUUGACAGAGCCCCAGAGGAAGCACGGGCUAAGUUCGUG
rnacentral:rRNA from 1 species